CUGACAGAUGUGGAGGCCCGAGGCACACCUAGGGCUCAUCGUUCCAAUCACCAGUGGUCCAGCAUGUUCGUCUUCGGCGACGACUUUGUCGACAACGGCAACGUUCCCAACAUCGUUGGCGAGAAGACCGUUCCCAACAUCGUUGGCGAGAAGACGUCGCGGCAGUGGAGCUACCCGUACGGCUCUUAUCGCAGCUCCAAUUGGUCUAGCGCUCCUGUUUCAACAGGACGCUUCUCCAACUACCGGAUGCAAUCAGAUUUUAUCGCAAGGAUGUUGGGCCUCGCUGAAGCCCCUCCAGCGUACGAGCUCACAUCAGGCCAAUCUUGCGACUCAUCUGGCAUGACCUUCGCUGUUGGCGGCGCUGGUGUCUUCAAGGUGACGUCGACGGCGAAGAAGGUGCCGACCCUUGCUGCACAGGUUCAAGCUUUCAAGAGGCUAGUCAACGACGAUGUCAUCUCAACACGACAGCUUCACCACUCGGUCGCACUCAUCGCCAUCUCCGGCAAUGACUACAUGAGCGGCUCCGAGGCCAAUAAUGUAUUCUACUCAAGCUUCGAUGAUCUCGAUACUUACAUAGGAAACGUGGCGACUGAGAUCCUAGAUAAUGUGGCGCAGCUGCAGAUGCUUGGUGUGAGAAAGGUUCUAGUAAAUAACUUGCAUCCCAUUGGUUGCAUGCCUUCACAGACUAGUUCGAACAACUACACCACAUGUGACCUUCUGGGCAAUUAUGGCGCAGGUGAAGGGUCGGACCGGUCCAAGGACUUCAAGCGCAAGCUGACCCCGUGUUGCGAGAGUUCCUAUGAGGGAGGGUACUGUGGAGAGCGUAGCAGUUCAGGGAAGCACCUCUGGGACAAGGCACACCCAACACAUGCUGGGUGGGAGGCAGUAAUGGAGGCGCUGGAGCAACCUUUGAUGGAAUUUCUCGAUCAGGACUAUGUUCCAUGA
rnacentral:rRNA from 1 species